rnacentral:rRNA from 1 species
GACGAACCGUGCGAACGUUAUUCGGAAUCACUGGGCUUAAAGGGCGCGUAGGCGGGCGGCCAAGUCAGAGGUGAAAGCCCCCCAGCUCAACUGGGGAAGUGCCUUUGAUACUGGUCGUCUCGAGGGAGAUAGGGGCGUGCGGAACUUCCGGUGGAGCGGUGAAAUGCGUAGAUAUCGGAAGGAACACCGGUGGCGAAAGCGGCGCGCUGGAUCUCUUCUGACGCUGAGGCGCGAAAGCCAGGGGAGCGAACGGG